GGGUUCACCUAAAGUUCUGUAAACGAGUACCCAAGUUGCCAUCAAAGUGCACAGCAGCUAAUGUAGUAAUGGUCCUCCCCAGGCAAGGUGUGGGGACACAGUUCUGAAGGGUGAGGGGUCAGCCUUCUAGAAAUGAGAUCAUAGAAAGGUCUGAGGAUCCCAAAGGGAGGCUAGGGUCUAGCAGGUUGUGAAAGGUACAGGGAGGGACCUUUACAGCCUUACAGCCUGAGGGGGAGCAUUUUGAAGUUUUGUUGGGCGUUGGGCAGUAGUGGUUGGAGAUUGGCCAAACAGGAAGACAGAGGGGAAAAGACAAGAGUAUCAGGUAGAACAGUGUUUUGGAACAAGGUAAAGCAUCCCCAGGAUCCCAACAUACAGAAAUAAUGAGUGUUUGGGGAAAUGGGAAAGCUAAUUCAUCUAAUUUGAUCUUAUACACAGUAUGCCACAUCCCGAACUGUUCAAGUGGACGCCAUAAUAUAUACAAAUAGCGUGUGCCCAUUAAAAUUGGAAAAUGAUGCAGGAGAAAAUUAUGUCACAACAUGGGAAGUAGAGAGGGGGCUAAAAGCAGAACAAGAAGAGACCUGAGGACUAAGCACGGGGUAGGUCAGCACUUGGGGCUGUCAGCAAAGGGGCAGGCAAUGAGGCAAGUGAGGCCCUGUCGUAGUGUGACCCUUAAAGCACAAGGACUAUUUGGUCCGCUUUGUAGUUUGGCCAAGACCUCUCAUCACUGACAAAAUACGCAACACAGCAUCUAAGAAAGAAGAAAUUAGCUGGGAGGUGAUGACAUACGCCUUUAAUCCCAGCACUCAGGAGACAGAGACAGGCAAAGCUCUGAGUUCAAGGCCAGCCCGCUUUACAGAUCAAGUUUCAGGAACCCAAGGGCUAUACAAAGAGACCCUGCCUUGAAAACAGAGAGAUUGAUUUUGGGCUUUCAGUUUCAGGAGUUUGAGUCUACAAUGGCGGGAAAGAGUUGAGAGGGGAUCCACUCACACUGUGGUGGCCAGAAGCUGAGGGGAUGCCUAAGGUAGAAGGCUCCUUCUCUAGAAGGGUGGGAAGGUGCCACCCACACUGAAGAGGUGAUUUCCCCCUAGUUACCCCUGUGUGGAAACAUCCUCAGACAUUCACACACAACUAUACCAAUCCCCUAGGCACCAUCAAGUUGUCAGUCACUGGUAAUUAUCCUGAGCUGAAUGUGCUGGGACAAACCUGCGAUCCCAGCAUAUUGGGGAAGAGGACAGGAGAAGCCAUCUUGGGCCAUAGAAGGAGACCGGGUCAAUAAAGAAUUGUUGCAGUCUAAGUUGACGUCUAGGUCGUAAUAUAAUUACUUUGGGCUCCAAUGGAAACAAUCGGCUGCAACGGAAGGACUAGUGGAGCAUUCAAAGCAUUGUUCAGAGGGAGGAUGCACACUGGCCUUAGGAGCUGCUGUCGUACAAGUCCACUGGGAAGAUACUGAGCAGUUUCAGUACCCUGCAACCAGGGGUGAAACACGAAAGCCCGAGAAAGAGGGAAGAGGAAGAGUGGUUGAUGACUGUAAAUAUAUGCAAAUAUCUUAAGUCGUUUUGCUGUAGUUUGUAGCAGGAAAAUGACGAGGACUGGGUGGUUGGCAGGACAGGCAAGUGAAAACUGUGUACAGAAGAGUACAGUCAUUUUACCGAGUGGGGAUGACCGACGGAAAGAAAGAAAGUAAAGAUGACCUUAGGGAUAAAGGACCGCGCUGUGAUCGACUUUCUGCACACCCUGCUUUUCUUCCAUUAAAUUAAAAGUGCUCCGAAUGAAUUUCUUCACUGUGAUGAGUUAACGUUGUAUGUUAGAACAAUUUUUAUUCAUAUGCAUAGUUCAUCUACUUAUUCUACUUUCUCAGAGAUCUCGAAACAUCAUGGACACCUAUGCCUGCCCCACAGGCAGGGAAAGGGAGGGGUUAGUGUGGUAGCUGUGAGCCAUUUUACAUGGAGGGCCUGGCCGCUCCUUCAGGGUCAGGAGGAAGGGCAGGGAAUGGAGCACAGAGAGGUGAGUAAGCCGGCUCAGGAAUGUGAGCUGUGGUGGGGUGUAAAACGGCGUGGUUUCUACUACUUGUCUUUAUUUUCUCAGCAAAGUAGGCAACUCAGUCAUCAACCAAGAAGGGUUAUGUAGCAGACUGGAAGAGAGAAGACGGUGACUGAAACAGCCACCCAGAAAUAUGGGAGAAUAGAUGGGCUAGGGAGGAUUCCACUUCCGGGAAACACUGAGAGAGCACCAGGAGAGCUUCCGGGUUUCUCCAGCUGCAUUCAGCAUCACUAUAAGAGCAGAGCAGGAGAGCUGGAUUCAAGCACAGAUGGAAGUCACAGAUGAGAAGUCAGUGUGCUGCAGAAAAGGUACAGACGGUGAAGCUGUGCGCCAAACGACCAGGGCAAUCCAAGCCGAGUAAACAGAGAAACGAGGAUAUGACGGGACACCGAGAUGGUGGCAGACAGUCUGUCCUGGUAGGUGACAGUUGGCAUGUCAUGGGGACACUUGGGCUGUCCUAUUGAGAGCUGUACAUACUGAGGACCCCACAGCUCCUGCUUGCAGUCUUAAAAGUGUCCUUGCACAGAAUCGCUGCUUCUCGACCCACUCAAGUCUUACUUUCUGAGGAAAGACUCUGAUCCGGAGCCCAAAUGCUAAAGCACUCCCAGAUUCUGAGCGCUCAGAAACUGUAGAGAGAUAAAGAUUGUUGUUUUAAGUCCAUACAUGUUCAGUGGUUUCUUUUUUUAAAUUUAGCAACAUAUACCUGAGAAGGCUCUCCAACAAAGUGUCCUGUAACCAACCAAGUUGGUAGGAGUCUUCUCUCUUAUCCAUGAAUUCUGUGUCGGCUAAUUUCACCAUUGCAAAUGGGAAAUGUUUCUUUAACUUUCGUAAUCAAUCUUGACACUAUUUCCUAAGUGACUUAAUACAAUAAAACUUUUUAUGUGAAGCUAGAGACUAUUUAAAAUACAAUGUGUGUGUGUUUGUGUGUGUGUGUGUGUGCGCGUGCACAUGCACGUGCACAGAUUCUAUGCAAAACUACAUUAUAAUGAGGGGAUUGAGCAUCUGUGGACUUUGGUGGUUAUACGGAUUGUGAACUCAAUUCUCCAUGGGCAACAGCAGACAAAUUCAUCCUCUAGCCAUCUUAGGAAGCAAUACCUCUUAUUACUGUGUGGUACUCUGAAUAGGAAGUGUUUCCCCAGGCACCUGUGUGUUUGAACACUUGGUCUCAGCUGGUGGCAAUAAAUGGGAAGGUUUUUGAACAUUUUGGGAGUAAGGAGGUCAGGACCAUGUGGAAGCAAGAGUCACUGGUGGGGAUCUUGAAGGUGAUAAAUCCUUCUGGGGCCAACCUCGACUCCUAAUGAUGCUAGACCUAGACAGACUGCAAGCUCCCACCAUGUGGAUGAGCCAUCCCAGUGGUCACACCCUUCCCACCAGGGUGAACUAUACACUCUGAAACUUAAAACCAAAAUCAACCUCUCCUUCCUUGUGGCCACUGCCAGGUAUUCUGUCACGGCAAGGAGAAAAAGCUAAUUAAUACAAGGAAGGCUCUUGAGAAGCCCUGCAGCACAGAAACCAAGUAUUUCCUGUUUGUAAUAUAAUUCUAAACCCACUUUAGGAAACGUCAUCUGCAUCCCAUGGAAGGGGGUUGAGAUACUUUGACCUGUAACAGUGUAAAUCCCUAACAGUUAUAGUCACAAGUUUCCAAAUGAGCAUAUAGGAAAAAAUACCAAGACCCACACCUCAGCGGGGCCUACUGAAACAACUGUCAUCCUAGACCCUGGGAGGUGAGGCAGAAGGAUCAGUAGUUCAAGGUUACCCUUAGCUAAAUUACAAGUUUGAGGUCUGAUACAGCCAACCCAGUAACCAAGAAAACAAAAGAGCUAACACUCCAAAUCCAGUACACGUAAAUGCUUGGGUCUCUACUGCGUGGUGCGCAAAGCAGGUGGAGACUUUAAAAGUAUUAAUGCCAUAGACAAAUGGAAUCAACUAGAUGUACGUCAACAGUUUGGCAGAUUUUAUAUACAUAUAGCAUAAUGUUAUAGUAUAACAUAUAUAUAUACAUAUAUACAUAUAUAUGGAUAAUACUCAGUUUUAAACAAAAAUGAAGUUUAAAACUUUUCAGGAAAUAAGGCUUGGCAAUAGUACAUGUCUUCAAUCCUAGUACUCAGAAGGCAGAAACAGAUUUCUGUGACUACAUAAUGGAGUCCAGUCUGGACUACAUAAUGGAGCUCCAGAUCAGCCCGGGCUGCUCAGUUAAGAUGGUCUCAAAAGAAAAAAAAGAUGUAGGGGAAUAGGUAAACUUUGAAUAUAUAAUAUUGAGGCACAAUGUCAGAAAAAUAAACCAUCUAGCCAAAAAUAUAUGCAUAUAUGUAUAUAAAUGGGGGGAUUAAAGUGUAACAUGAAGAAAAGAAAGCAAGAAGGGCUGAACAUACAGGGCGAGGAGGGACUGGCUGCAGACAAUGGCUGUGAACCAUGAAGAACAGAUAAAGCUGAUGCCUUUCUAGUUCUGAUCUGCUUGUGGAUUUUUUUCUUUUUCCUUCUGGUUUUGGUUUUGGUGGUAAAUUUUUUACAGAAAAUAUAUUAGAUACUGAAAGUAAAACUCAGCGUGAGGAGACUGGAGAGAUGGCUCAGUGUUUAAGAUCACAUACUGCUCUUCUGAAGGACUCAAGUUAGAGUCCCAGCACUCAAGUCCAGUUCUCACAACAGCCGUAACUCUAGUUCCAGGGGAUCGGACUACUCUGGCCUCUGUGGGCACACACACUCGCGUGCACAUAAUUUAAAAUAACAAAAGAAAAUUUGAAUGUGAACCUCUCUAUCUUCCCUUCGGAAUGCCAAUUCUUACUGUGUAGAAGUUCAUUGAGUCUGACUGAUUCUAGUGUGUGUUUUUUAUUUAUUUAUUUGCGAGUUGUUUUAUAAUGAAGUUUAUGAAGUUUUAAAAUUAUAGUAAUGUUAUAAAAUACAUUCAGACAACAUCUAGGGGGAUCGUAAUAGGUUAAAGGGGAUGAAAAUGUGAAAAGCAAGUAAAAUCAAUAUAAUAUUUGAAUCUUCAUUGACUUUUUGGACCAGGAAAAGUAAUCUUGUAAAGGACAGUAAUAAGGCAAUUUGAGGAAAUUAAAAGUGUGGAGUUAAUAUAAAUAAUAUUAUUGCAUUGAUGUCAAAUUAGCUGAGUCUGAAAAGUAUAGCAUGAUUAAGUAAGAAAUGUUCUUUUUCUUGGGUGGUUUAUGCUGAAAUUAUAAAGCUAAAGUGUCAGGAAAGUGUCAGGACAUGUAUAGCUCUGAAAUGAUUCAGGAAAAGCACGUAUGUGUAUCUGUAUCUCACUUCGUGUAUAUGUAUUAUAUGUAUAGAUCUCUGUGUGUGGCCUGUGUGCAUACAUGUGUAUAUGUAUAUGUGCUUAUUCCUUUCUAAUAUAUAUGUUUCCUGAGAGCACAAAUAAUGCUUCCUUCAUUUGACUAUAAUAUAUCCUCAUGAUAUUUUUUCAGAGUAAGUAAUUUAUAUUUUUCUUUUUUCUAGAUUUCCUUCUUUCUCUUUCUUUUCUUUUCUUUCUUUCUUCCUUCCUUCCUUCCUUCUUUCUUUUUAAGUAAGUUUACAUGUGGGGCUCUUCUCGUAUUCCUAGGUGCCAGUGUCUUCAAGCUAUCAGCUAGACACUCCCACCCACACAUCACAUGAUGGUUGUCUCCACCAUGAGCCUUCCCCCAGAGUUUGGCUUGUGCCUAGGUAUCACCGAGCUGCAAUGGAUAGUGUUGAAAAGUCUUCUUCACAACUUCAUGCCCACCUAGACACACAGAAUGUAAUCUUACUGGGAAACGGGACAUCUGCAGGUUGCAAUUAGCUAUGUUCGAAUGAGGUCAUACUGAGUUAGUGAGGAUCCUUACAGACAGAUACAACAGACACAUGGGCGCAGAAGAAGCACACCACGUGAGGCCAAGGGCAGACACUGCGGCAAGCAUCUGCAAGACGAAGAACACCCAUGAUCCCUGGCAACCAGCAGGAGCAAGGGAAGAACCAAACAAACAAACAAAAAAAGCAACAACAAAAAAAACCACAUAGUCUUUUCCCAGAUUUUCAAGGAAAUGGCUGGACGGUGACAUUAGGAUUAAGACAGUGAUUUUUCUGUUAUUCUGAACCACUCUCUUUAUGAAAACUGUUACCUGGCAGCUGAGGACACAAUAUUUAUAAAGUUGUACCAAUUUGCUAGGCAGACCCUUUCCAGACCAGCCUCAACUCUAGGCCUGUAAAUCCACCCCAGACUCUGGCCCUGUGAGUCAACUGCAGAGAGUGACAGAGCAAAGAUCGUUGAUAACAGAUUCCCGGCCCACUAAGCUGCUGGACAGGGGCUGUGUGUGUGUGUGUGUGUGUGUGUGUGUGUGUGUGUGUGUGUGUGUGUGUGUGUGUGAUCCUUCCAGAAUAUUUGCAUUUUAAUAAGAUACUUAGCCAUUCGACACUCAUCCCCACAGUGUCCAUUUGCCCUCGUGAUUUACCAAGUGCCCACUGAGUGCUGGGGCCGUGCAGCAGGCCAGCGAGAGCACUAUUUUAAGACGCACCAGCAGGCCUCCUCUGAAAGCUUCAGAUCACACCCUGGAGAUCUCCACCUACUCUUUCAGUGAGCUCAGAGACCGUGGUGGACACUCUUCCUGGGGAACACAAUAACAGGGAUGCCUCUCACUGAACAAAAGGGUGCUCUAGAAAAGGCAUGCUCGGUGCGAGCACGGUUUGGGGAGGAAUAAACAAGGACCGGAAAGGAAGAUGAGUAACCAGUCGUAUAACCAAUCCGGCAGCCUCCGGCUAAGCAAUCAGUGGAAAAUUCCCCAGUACUGCUCUCUCCCAGCUUCGUUCUUAGCUCCUUUACCUCAUGUCCCUUGACCUUCUGUCCACCUCCCUCAGUGUAUGCUGCAAAGUGUAUGUUCUUUACCACUCGUUCGUGUGGCUUUUCUAGUCAUCUUAUAUUCUCCCCGUGGAUUUUGGCAUCUGGUUCCUUUGGUCUCAAUUACCACCCAGUAUAUGCGGAUGUCUCCCAAUGUUUCACAAAGAACCAGAACUCUGUCCUAAGCUGCACACCAUUAAACCUGACUGCUUUCGAGAUAACUCCCCUCGGAUGUUCCACAAACACCUCAAAUUCAGUGCCUCAAAAAACCAAACUCACUAGCCUCACCACCAAAUGCAUUUUCUAUCACCGUUUAUUAUGUUAUUUAUAUAAGAAAUUGUGUGUAACAAGGUUAAUAUCCACACCAUAGUGUCUUUGUUUGUCAUAAGCAUGGGAUCUUUGAGGUUCAAGGACAAACUGAGAUCUUGGCGUCUUGGAUUUGGUGAAUUUAGUUUUCAUGUCUACCGUCUUCGUUUUGUUUUGUUUUGGUUUUUUGACGUAGGGUUUUUCUGUUUAGCCCUGGCUGACUAGAACUUGCUCUGUAGACUAGGCUGGCCUCAAACUCAGAGAUCUGCCUGCCUCUGUUGUCUGAGUGCUAGGAGAGACUGUAGUCUUAACUUUAAAAGGUUACUUUCAUUUUUCCAUGAACCGUUAUCCUUCAAUCCUCUUAUAAAAGACAAGGGACAGCCUGUUUCUUUUAUUCUUUUUUAUUGAAAUCUCUCCAGGCUGCAUUGUAAUGUAAAUCAGAACUCAGUAAAAAUAAAAUAAAGUCAUGCACAUUAAAAAUAAAAAUAUUAUGUGAACUAAGGAAGAAAAAUACUUAUUACUUAACUAAAUUGAUCUUUUAAAAUCAUGAUCUAAGAUGCUCAAAAGAACAUAAAUACUAGUGAGGGAAUAAAAUUAUAUGAUCCUUCCUCCAUAGCAAGGGAGACAAAAGUUUGAUUUUCCUCAUUUUGAGACCGUUAUUUCUCUUUUUUUUUAAAUUGAAUAUUUGAUGUAUUUACAUUUCAAAGGUUAUCCCCUUUCCCCCUCUCCCAUCCCGGACAGCCUGUUUCUAACAGUAAAGCUCUGCUUGCCUCAAUGAUGACCCCUCAAUACGAGGUGAAAAUCAUGCUCUAGGUGAAUGGUCAACAGGCUACAAAAUGCUUGUGAUUGAGACUAGAAAGGAAGGUUUAAACUACUGUGUACAACACAGUCGAGACAAGUUUUCUCCGUGUAGUCCUGGAUGUGCUGGGAUUCGCUCUGUAGAACAAGAUGGCCCCCAGAGGUAUACUUACCUUUCCCUCCUGAGUUCUGGGAUUAAAAAUGCAUACCAUCAUUGGCCGGCUGUAGUUGAUUUUGACAUGGGAUCUCACCACACAGUCCAAGCCAGCCUAGAACUCACAGAGACCCACCUGCCUCUGUCUUUCGAGUGCUGGGAUUAAAGGCACAAGCCAUCACGCUCAUGACUUUUGACUCUAGGACAACAAUAAAAGCAUAAUGAGGGUCUGAAGAGUUGCCUCAGUGGUUAAGAGCAUUCUCUACUCACUCCAGAGGACCUGAGUUCAGUUCCUAGCAUUCACAGUUACAACCUCCUGUGCCAGGGGAUCCGACUCCUCUUCUGCCCUCCUCAGGAACCUGCACAUAUGUGGACUCACAUGAGCACUCAUCCAUGUUUGUUUGUUUGUUUGUUUGUUUGUUUGUUUUUGAGGUAAGGUGUCCUCUAUGUAUCUCUGAUUGUCCUGAAACUCGAUCUGUAGACCAGGCUGGCCUCAAACUCAAAGAUCUGCCUCCCUCUGCCUCUCAAGUGCUGGGACUAAAGGCGUAUGCCAUCACCACCCGACAACAUACAUUUUUAAUUUUUUUUAAAAAGUUUGAGCAGAAUAACCAGAUGAUUAUUAUAGACUGACACCAUCUGCCUUGACUCCUUGAAAUUCCAUCAAAGGACACAUUAAUGUAGAAACUAAGUGGAACGAAAUAAACUACAGAAGACAACCUUAGAAAUGGAAGCUGAGGGAAGCUAUCCAUGGGACACUGGAGAUCCGUCCUGGAACAGUUAAGAACUGGUGAAGGGGCUGGGGAUUUAGCUCAGUGGUAGAGCGCUUACCUAGGAAGCGCAAGGCCCUGGGUUCGGUCCCCAGCUCCGAAAAAAAGAACCAAAAAAAAAAAAAAAAAAAAAAACUGGUGAAAGGCACACCAGAGCUGGAAGGAGGCUUUUAUGAAAAUGCUGUAAACUGUAUUACGAGAUGUAAACUAGCAAAGGCCUUUGAUAGGCUUCAGGCUGGGGAGUGACAUGAUCAGAAUUAUGUUUUAUUUCUCAUUUCAACAAGCAAAUCUAUUAGAGCCCCAGGAGAACAGCAGUGAGAUUACUGACGUGGAAGUCCUUCUCCUGUCCAUCCACAUGAUGAUGCGGUCUGGGCUGUGUCUAUAUGGGUGUGAUCUCUCGGUUUGCUGCUCCAGCUGCCAUGACUGCCUGCUGCCGUGCUUCUCCACUGCGAUGGUGAUCAGCUCUUAUUCCUCUGGAAACAAAACCUAAAUAAACCCUCCAUUCUGUAAGUUGCUUUGGUCAUAGUGUCCAAUCACCUCUACAGAAAAGUAACUCAUACACCUAAUAAUCCAUUCAGUCCCACUCGCUACUCUGUCUUGAAAACAUUCUCAAUAAACACCCCCAAAUUAAUGCUUAACCACAUU